UAGACGGUAGAACGAUAGCGGUAAGAUAGACGGUAGAACGGUAGCGGUAGGAUAGACGGUAGAACGAUAGCGGUAAGAUAGACGGUAGAACGGUAGCUUAAAACGGUAGAGAGGUCGGGAGAGCGAUUGGAAAACUGAAGCUGUUCCUCAACAGGUCGAGCGUAGAAUAGCAGGUCGUAGUUCAGCUCGCCGAUCUCGCGGUUGUCGUGAGGUGAUUCUUCUUCUUUGAUUGGUCGCUUGACCCCCACCGCAAAUAGGCCAUCCCCCUGUGGCGAAUAUCGGUUACUGCGUGGU